rnacentral:pre_miRNA from 1 species
UCGUGUAACAGUUCUGAAGCCUGGAACAUUUGACGAGGUUUAAGACUGUCCCACGGGC